rnacentral:rRNA from 1 species
AGUGAACGCUGGCGGUAGGCCUAACACAUGCAAGUCGAACGGCAGCACAGUAAGAGCUUGCUCUUACGGGUGGCGAGUGGCGGACGGGUGAGGAAUACAUCGGAAUCUACUUUUUCGUGGGGGAUAACGUAGGGAAACUUACGCUAAUACCGCAUACGACCUACGGGUGAAAGCAGGGGAUCUUCAGACCUUGCGCGAUUGAAUGAGCCGAUGUCGGAUUAGCUAGUUGGCGGGGUAAAGGCCCACCAAGGCGACGAUCCGUAGCUGGUCUGAGAGGAUGAUCAGCCACACUGGAACUGAGACACGGUCCAGACUCCUACGGGAGGCAGCAGUGGGGAAUAUUGGACAAUGGGCGCAAGCCUGAUCCAGCCAUACCGCGUGGGUGAAGAAGGCCUUCGGGUUGUGUAGCCCUUUUGUUGGGAAAGAAAAGCAGCAGGUUAAUACCCCGCUGCUCUGACGGUACCCAAAGAAUAGGCACCGGCUAACUUCGUG